GUUAAACAUGUUCCCGGGAUCCCAACCAUCCCCCUAACCUGGAACAGUAGAAUAAUAGUACAACAUAACAAAUGAGCUUUUUUGAAAAUAUGUCAAAGCAGUUACCGAUAAUUGUUGCUGUAACAUUUUCUGUUUUGUCUAAUACUGUAUCUUUCAUGAUAAUAAAGACAACAUGGAAUUUGCCAGCUUGGCAUGUAAGUACAACAACUGUUUGAGAGAUGUCUGAUAGGUUUGGUUAAAAUAAAAAGAAAAUUGAAAUAGUUAAUACUUGUAACAUUAUUUGCUUUGUCGUUUGUUGACUGUUUUUGAAUGCUAUCAGUUUCUUUGGUUUAACAUCCAUACUUUGUUUCUAGUUGUAUCAAAAUUAUGACUUUUGCAAACUCAUUAAGUCUAAGCAAAUGUUAUUGUGAAAAGUGUUGCAAUUCGUAUUUUGUUUCAUGAACUUCAUGUUAAUUUCACAAAGUGCCAUCAAAUUAAAAGAACACUCAAACGAUAAGGCAACUACAUUGAUUUGUACGAUUUAUUGACAACAUUUGAAAUCAAUAUGAAAUACGGUCAAAUAUAACAUUUUCAAUUGUUUUUGUUGCAUGAGCCUCAUGUUAAUUUCACAGAGUGGCAUCAAAUUAUAAGAACACUCAAACGAUAAUAAGGCAACUACAUUAAACAAAGUAAUGUACUUAUUUCUCAAUUUACACCUCAAAGUAUCGCUAUUUAGCAGUAAUCAUUAUUCUGAAUGAAUAUUAUGCCUUAUCAUGUAAUCAUUAAUAUGAUAUUUGGGAAUAUGCAUGGAAUAUAUGAGGCAUACCUGUGCACAAAUUAUAAUAGACGUUUACUGUAUGCCUUUACAGGUUGACCUACAGUGGUGGAAUACUAUGUAAUUGUCAAGCAAAACUAAAUUUUUAGAUCGAAAGGUACGCAUGCAGUGUUGAUUAUAUAAAAGUAACAUAUAGCUCAUUGAUAGAAACAAUAUACGGUAGUUAUUUUCUGAAAUCAACUCAAACAUAUGCACAAGUGCAUAUUUGCCUAAAAUAUUGUAAGUGCAUGUAUACUUUGCAUUAAGACUUUUAUUGAUGAUCGUGUUAAUGUUGUUGUUCAAAUUAUACCAUGUCUAAGAGAACUAACAUCAGUACUUUUUAACAAUUUAUGUACAAUCUAAAUAAUAAUUGUGACGCUUAUCUAAUACUACGGAAAUGACAAUAACAUUGUAUAUCAUAUAUGUUUUACUUUUUAUAUAAGGUCUCACUGACUGAUUAUAACGCCGCAAAACGGGGUCUAUUAUAAAUCCAUUAAAUUAUCCGAAAGACAUUUCAAAGAAUUGAAAUUGACUUAAUCAAAUUGAGAACAAAAAACAUGUAUAAAUGUGAAAAGAAUAGCACGUUAACAUGUUUUUAAAUUCUAAUACAGGUUACAAUGAACAUAAGUGAAUUAAACAAACAUAAAGAGUGGGGAUGAUAUACCCACACACUUAAGUGGACAGUGAUUUUCAAUAUCACAAAUAUUUCGCCAAGAGAUCAUUCACUGGCUAGAAUAUCUGCUGAUAUACAGUACUGUCCGCGGGGAUUAAUUAUUGAUAACAAAUUCUUUCCUCGGGAAUUCAGCGAUAUACAAUUCCUUUCCGGAAGAUUAACGAGUCCGGUCAAGAAUAUGCAUUCCAAGUAUUUGAAAACCGAUAAAAUAGAUGGAAUGGAAUAAUGGAAUGUGGUCAAGGACACAACAACUCAGAACGAAAUUGGAAUGAACCGAGGCAUGCUAGGAUUGUUUUAAAAAAGUGUCAUGAACACAAACUUAUUGAGAAAUCGAAUUCAGUGUUAUACUCCAAUAAAUCAGACAUAUUUAUGUAAACUAUGCAAGUGC
rnacentral:lncRNA from 1 species